rnacentral:rRNA from 1 species
AACGAACGCUGGCGGCAUGCCUAACACAUGCAAGUCGAACGAGACCUUCGGGUCUAGUGGCGCACGGGUGCGUAACGCGUGGGCACCUGCCCUUAGGUUCGGAAUAACUCCCCGAAAGGGGUGCUAAUACCGGAUAAUGUCUUCGGACCAAAGAUUUAUCGCCUUUGGAUGGGCCCGCGUUGGAUUAGCUAGUUGGUAGGGUAAAAGCCUACCAAGGCGACGAUCCAUAGCUGGUCUGAGAGGAUGAUCAGCCACACUGGGACUGAGGCACGGCCCAGACUCCUACGGGAGGCAGCAGUAGGGAAUAUUGGACAAUGGGCGAAAGCCUGAUCCAGCAAUGCCGCGUGAGUGAUGAAGGCGUUAGGGUUGUAAAGCUCUUUUACCCGGGAUGAUAAUGACAGUACCGGGAGAAUAAGCACCGGCUAACUCCGUG